AUGGAAAUCCCAAUAAAUCCCGGAAGGACCCGCGAUGUCCGAGGGUCACUCUGGGAGGGAAUGCCGGGAAUGGGGCAGGGAGGGUGGCAACGUCCCAGUGUCCCCAAUCCCAUCCCGGUGUCCCCAUUCCACUCACAGUGUCCCCAUUCCCAAUGUCCCAUUCCCAUUCCCACUGUCCCCAUUCCCAAUGUCCCAUUUCCAUUCCCAGGGUCCCCAUUCCCAUCCCAGUGUCCCCAUUACAAUGUCCCCAUUCCUGUCCCACUGUCCCCAUUCCCAAUGUCACAGUCCCAUCCCAAUGUCACAUUCCCAUUCCCACUGUCCCCAGUCCCAUCCCUGUGUCCCCACUCACAGUGUCCCCAUUCCCAAUGUCCCAUUCCCUCUGUCCCCAUGUCCCCACUCCCACUGUCCCCAUUCCCGUCUCAGUGCUCCCAUUCCCAUUCCCAAUGUCCCCAUUCCUGUCCGGGUGUCCCCAUUCUCAUCCCACUGUCCCCAUUCUCAUCCCACUGUCCCCACUCCAUUCCCAAUGUUCCCAUUCCCAUUCCAGUGUCCCCAUCCCUGGUGUCCCCAAUCCCAGUGUCCCCAUUCCCAAUCCCAAUGUCCCCAUUCCUGUCCCACUGUCCCCAUUCCCAGUGUCCCCAUUCCCAAUGUCCCCAUUCCAUCCCAAAUGUUCCCAUUCCCGUAACGGUGUCCCCACUCCCAAUGUCCCAAUCCCAUUCCCAGUGUCCCCAUUCCUGUCCCACUGUCCCCAUUCUCAUCCCAGUGUCCCCACUCCAUUCCCAUUGUCCCCAUUCCCAGUGUCCCCAUUCCUGUCCCGCUGUCCCCAAUCCCUGUGUCCCCCUUCCCACUGUCCCCAUUCCCAAUGUCCCAUUUCCAUUCCCAGUGUCCCCAUUCCCAUCCCAGUGUCCCCAUUACAAUGUCCCCAUUCCCAAUCCCAAUGUCCCCAUUCCCAAUCCCAAUGUCCCUAUUCUCAUCCCAGUGUCCCCACUUCAUUCCCAAAGUCCCCAUUCCCAGUGUCCCUAUUCUCAUCCCAGUGUCCCCAAUCCCAUUCCCAUUCCCAAUGUCCCCAUUCCUGUCUCGGUGUCCCCAAUCCCAUUCCCAAUGUCCCCAUUCCCAAUGUCCCUAUUCCCAUCCCAGUGUCCCCAUUCCCAUCCAGUGUCCCCAUCCCACCCCACUGUUCCCAAUCCUGACCCUAUUCCCAACCCAAAAAUUCCCCAAUCCCAACUUCCGCUCUCUCCAUCAGGAAAACAGAAAAAAUUCCCAAAAAAAUUUAUGGGAUUUUCCUCCCCAAACCCCCAGAGCUGUUUCUUCCCCCCCUUUGGGGACAUUCCCAGAAAUUCCCGAGGAUUUGUAGGAUCACGAGGAUUUUAUGGAGCAUUUUGGGGUCGGGUUCCCCUGGGAAAAUUCGGGAUCCAAACGAUUCCCAAGAGUUCUCGUGGCUUCCCCGCUUUUUAUUGGGAAAAGGGGGAACUGUGGGAACUUUGGGAACGCCGCGGAGCCACCUCGGGAAUUCCCGGGAAAAGGGAUCGGAGACGCUCCUGGGCUUGGGCUGCCGUCAGGAUCUGUGGGAAAACGGGAAAAUCCCAGAAAAUCCUGUGGGAAAGGGGGGGGAACCCAACCCCAAAUGGGCAAAUCCCAUAA
rnacentral:lncRNA from 1 species